rnacentral:rRNA from 1 species
UUGGGCCUACGGGGCGCAGCAGUGAGGAAUAUUGGUCAAUGGGCGGAAGCCUGAACCAGCCAAGUCGCGUGAGGGAUUAAGGCCCUGCGGGUCGUAAACCUCUUUUGCCGGGGAGCAGUGGUCCGGACGCGUCCGGACCGGGAGAGUACCCGGAGAAAAAGCAUCGGCUAACUCCGUGCCAGCAGCCGCGGUAAUACGGAGGAUGCGAGCGUUAUCCGGAUUUAUUGGGUUUAAAGGUUGCGUAGGCGGGCAUUUAAGCCGGCGGUCAAAUGUCGGGGCGCAACCCCGGCCUGCCGCCGG